UACGAAGGGGGCUAGCGUUGUUCGGAAUCACUGGGCGUAAAGGGCGCGUAGGCGGCUUUAUAAGUCGGGGGUGAAAGCCUGUGGCUCAACCACAGAAUUGCCUUCGAUACUGUAGAGCUUGAGACCGGAAGAGGUUAGUGGAACUGCGAGUGUAGAGGUGGAAUUCGUAGAUAUUAGGAAGAACACCAGUGGCGAAGGCGGCUCACUGGUCCGGUACUGACGCUGAGGUGCGAAAGCGUGGGGAGCAAACAGG
rnacentral:rRNA from 1 species